rnacentral:rRNA from 1 species
UACGGGGGGGGCAAGCGUUGUUCGGAAUUACUGGGCGUAAAGGGCUCGUAGGCGGCCAACUAAGUCGGAUGUGAAAUCCCCAGGCUUAACCUGGGAACUGCAUCCGAUACUGGAUGGCUUGAAUCCGGGAGAGGGAUGCAGAAUUCCAGGUGUAGCGGUGAAAUUCGUAGAUAUUAGGAAGAACACCAGUGGCGAAGGCGGCUCACUGGUCCGGUACUGACGCUGAGGUGCGAAAGCGUGGGGAGCAAACAGG